UGAGGAAGCCCGAUGUCCAAACAUC
rnacentral:piRNA from 1 species